GAUCGGGUAGGAGGUUGCUAUGUUUUGAUACCAAAAAAAAUCUCUGGAAUACAUUAUGAACAGGAUUAGAACAAAAUUCUAAAAAGAACAAAGAAUAUAAGUAUGAAUUUUCAGCACGACAAUUUCAACAAGGCGAUUUGAAGAAUUUGACACUUGAUAACAUUUCAGAUUACCUUACAUUUCUGUAUGAUCGAACAAUAAUUAAUACUGACUCAAUAAAAGAGCUGGAAAGAAAUUUGACAGACAUAAGAAAUCGGAGGAUGGCUCUGGAUAGACAUAUUAGUAAUAUAAUAAAGAAAAAAAUAAAGCGCAUCAUCAGGACGAAAUUCAGAAAUUCAACAAAAAGUGCACACACAAGAAGGAAGAGUAAAAAGCCAACAAGAAACGGAAACAAAAAACUAAAAAUUAACUACCAUAAUCAUGUUAAUGAGUAGCUUUUAAAUCGAUGAAAUAAUUUUUACUAUCUCAAACAUCAAUUUAAGCUAACG